rnacentral:rRNA from 1 species
GAUGAACGCUGGCGGCGUGCUUAACACAUGCAAGUCGAACGGACUUUACAUGAAGCCUAGCGAAUGUAAAGUUAGUGGCGGACGGGUGAGUAACGCGUGAAUAACCUGCCUUUCAGUGGGGGACAACAGUCGGAAACGACUGCUAAUACCGCAUGACGCUUCUUGGGGGCAUCCCUGAGAAGUCAAAGCUUUAUGUGCUGAAAGAUGGAUUCGCGUCUGAUUAGCUAGUUGGUGAGGUAACGGCUCACCAAGGCGACGAUCAGUAGCCGGUCUGAGAGGAUGAACGGCCACAUUGGGACUGAGAUACGGCCCAG